UGCUCUUAUUUUAGGUAAAGUGGUGGUAAGGUGGUUUAUGGGUUUUCUCCGGGAGCUCCGGUUUAUCCCACAUAUAGUGAAUAAUUGGACUUAUCCUAUAGAUAAAAAACGUCUUCAAUGUGUCAUUCAUCUUGAAGGAAAAAUUGACUUUUUCCUUCUGAAUGAAUGCGAGGGCUUGAGCUCUCAGCGCCACCUCAGUAGUCAGUGUUGUCUACUGUUGUGGAACGCACGGGUUCGAUCUGGGUGAUCCAGUUCUCCCACAAUCAGUGCAUAAUAAUGAACAUCUAAUUAAAUACAAUAAAUAAUAAUAUAAAUAAAUAAUAUUCAUUCA